GUACACGCUGUGACUAGCAUAUCAAUAAGCGGAGGAAAAGAAACUAACAAGGAUUCCCCUAGUAACGGCGAGUGAAGCGGGAAGAGCUCAAAUUUGAAAUCUUAAAGGGUUUCCCUUUACGAAUUGUAGUUUAAAGAAGUGUUUUCUGUUGAGGUUUUGGUAAAAGUUCUUUGGAAUAGGACAUCAUAGAGGGUGAGAAUCCCGUAUUUGACCCUUUACUUUCAACUUUGUGAUACACUUUCAAAGAGUCGGAUUGUUUGGGAAUGCAGUCCAAAAUGGGUGGUAAAUUUCAUCUAAAGCUAAAUAUUGGCGAGAGACCGAUAGCGAACAAGUACCGUGAGGGAAAGAUGAAAAGAACUUUGAAAAGAGAGUUAAACAGUACGUGAAAUUGUCAAAAGGGAAGCGUUUGACACCAGUGUUGUUUUUCUGAAAAUCAAUUAAAGAACUGUUUAUGCUAAGUUGUUUAGACUUUAUCAGCUAACUGUUUAGUUUUGAGCUUUUCUUUAAUGCACUUUUCAGUUAACAAGUCAACAGUCAACUUUCUUUUGCUGUAAAAAAGCUUGAGGAAGGUGGCUUGAGAUUCGUCUUAAGUGUUUAUAGCCUCUUGCCUAUGCAGUCGGAGAGAUUGAGGUCUGCAGCGUAGAUCCUUCGGGGCUAAAUGCAUCUGUGCUAAGUUAUAGCAUUUUAUAGACAACUUGUUGACUAUGAUUUGUCUUGUAGCUUACUCGCUUAUGUUAUUUUACCUACGCUUAGGAUGUUGAAGAUGUAGCACAUCAU
rnacentral:rRNA from 1 species